rnacentral:lncRNA from 1 species
AUUACACAGGUUUAAGUGAAAAAACAACAAUCUGACAAAAAAAAUCAUACAACACUACUUUUAUUUGAAUGAGCAUUCACACUAUUUCAUUUUCAACAUUUGAACAUUGACCUAUAUUCAUUUACAAUCACAUUAAUACAUGUACUAUUUCAUGAUGAUGAUUUUAUAUCAUAUACAUGUACAUGAAUGCUCUUGCCCGAAGAGCCUAUUCUUUUGUCCAUUCUGACAUUGUUCUAUUCUUCAUGAAUCUCAGGUGUUGAAAAGAACUUUCUUUGUUCUAGAGUUUGGUAAAUGAUUUCUAUGCUUCAGUCGUCUAACUGAUUCUCGUAAAUGUUUGGGAUGAAUUGGUCCUGGUUCUGACCACUGUUCCAUGAUAUCAAGAGCUGAAAUUCAAAUAGCAAAACAAAUAAAAUUUCUUGUACAUAAUGAUAUAAUGAGGUUUAAAUACAUUAUAGAACAUUAAAUAAUUAUUUACAACAAUGAAUUAAAGUUUUCAUGACAAGCUACGUCUAU